rnacentral:rRNA from 1 species
AGUGAACGCUGGCGGUAGGCCUAACACAUGCAAGUCGAACGGCAGCACAGUAAGAGCUUGCUCUUACGGGUGGCGAGUGGCGGACGGGUGAGGAAUACAUCGGAAUCUACUUUUUCGUGGGGGAUGACGUAGGGAAACUUACGCUAAUACCGCAUACGACCUACGGGUGAAAGCAGGGGAUCUUCGGACCUUGCGCGAUUGAAUGAGCCGAUGUCCGAUUAGCUAGUUGGCGGGGUAAAGGCCCACCAAGGCGACGAUCCGUAGCUGGUCUGAGAGGAUGAUCAGCCACACUGGAACUGAGACACGUUCCAGACUCCUACGGGAGGCAGCAGUGGGGAAUAUUGGACAAUGGGCGCAAGCCUGAUCCAGCCAUACCGCGUGGGUGAAGAAGGCCUUCGGGUUCUAAAGCCCUUUUGUUGGGAAAGAAAAGCAGCAGGUUAAUACCCCGCUGUUCUGACGGUACCCAAAGAAUAAGCACCGGCUAACUUCGUG